rfam:Gossypium raimondii Chr03_contig_498, whole genome shotgun sequence.
UGUUAAAAAUUUCAUCUAUUUUUACUAUUAAAAACUGGCAUAACUGAGAAAAAUAAUCAAACUGUGACACGUAGUGUGCCAUGUGUACCUCAUAUUAACAUAAAGAGAUUAGUUUUUAAUAGUAAAAAUGAAUGAAAUUUUCAAUA